UAAUAUCGCUGUUGACUUGGUGAUGUGAAUAAUGUAUUGCUGAGUAGUGAGAUUGUAUCGUUGGGUGUUUGCUAGGAGGGAAAAAUAUUGAAUUUGUUUAGUAGCUUAUUUGUAAUGGAAAUUUGCCGAUGUUUCUCUUGCAUAAUCUGAGUUGUUUCUUCUGGAAGUGUCUUAUCUAGCUUUCCUUCGUACUAUCACCCUAUUUUCAUAUUAUAUAAUAUAA
rnacentral:lncRNA from 1 species